AUAACGUCUGACUAUGAGACUAUGAUGCCAGGUCCAAAAGCUGAGCCUCAAUGUUGCUGCAGCUGUUCGGCCCCAAACUUUGGUGAUCCUUCAUCUUUACCAUUACCAUCAGCACCACCACCUGACCUCUGCUCCAGCUUCCUACCAAAGCAUCGGGAGUCUGCUCUCUCAUUUGGCGUUGGUGAAUAUGUUGAUGUGGAUGUACUAGGAAACAUCUGCCAGUACCAACAUCUGGAUCUCAGCCAGUUAGAAGAGCAUGUCUAUCAAAGUCUUCAUGUACAUAGUUGUCCUAAACACGAACCUAUUAAAGAGGAGAUGAACUGUUUAAAUGUCAAAAGAUAAUUCUAGGCUAAUCACACCUUAAGUCUUAGUAGUGUGGUUUCAAUCAGCCUCUCACAAAAAGUACACAGAGUACAUAGUGACAUAGAGUAGCUUGGUAAAUAUGUAAUUAAUAAUUAAAAAGAUGAAAUGAAAUUACCAAUCCUGAUCCUGAUUUAAUAUACUAGUUUUAUCCUUUUACAGUGUUUGGAUGAAAGAAAGAGCUGAGUAAUUCAAAACUUUUGGAUCUUUAUGCAAUUUCUUAAAGUGUACAUUUUUAUUUUGUUUAAAUGGCAAAAAGAAAAAAGAAAAACCAAAAACUGUGAGUGGAUGGUUUAAGCACUAUCAGUUUGCUCUAUGAUUUGUAUUAUAUUUGCCAAAAUAAACCAACAGGUUCAUAUCUGAAGUGUUUCUUGUAGUUAUUAUUUACUGACCUGUAACCUCUUGAUUACUAAUUGUGAAAAAAGUGCAUGGGAGGGACAUGCUGAUGGUCAUGGUUUUUGGGGAGAAAAUUAGACAGAGGAAACUGGUGAAAGACAGGAAGUGAAACAAAAAAGAGGAACCCGUGAAGAAAAGCAGACUUGGUAUUCAUUUAGAAAGACUUGCAAGGGCAAAGAAUCAGGGUGAUUAAAGUAAAGCCCGAGGACAGUUACAAAAAGAAACCUUACGUGAAGCAUGGAGAUGACUUUGAUCUUUCUGAUAUUUCUUUUGGAAGGAUUAUGGGAGACUAAAGCUAUCUCAGUAACAGGAAACAAGGGCAGCUCUAUCACAGUAACCUGCUCUCACUCCAACGCCUACUACAAUGUCAAAUAUUUCUGCAAAGGACAAUGCACAGAUAAAGACAUCCUCAUAAACAGCACUACCAUUUCAAAUAAAAAAUACAAAAUUGAAGAUAAAGGAAAUACAUUCAGUGUCACUAUCUCUGAUCUGAAAGAAGAUGACUCUGGAACUUACUGGUGUGGAAUUGAACGAGUUGGUUUGGACACAUAUACUCAAGUAACCCUUACAGUUUUAGCUAACCAAGAUAAGACAGAUUAUACACAUGCUUCUUUUUCUGAGACGGUGGUGUAUACUGGAGUAAUUCUUGGUGUCGUGAUGCUAGUGCUGGGUGUGGGCCUUCUGAUUUUCUUCAGACAUCGAAACAGUAACAUCAGCACAUCAUCUGGAUGGUACUAUGACCUAGUGUUCAGGUCCUGUCAAAAACAAGAUGCCUGCCAUGACAAGAACGCUUCUCCAUCCAAGGAGGAUCAAGAAACAGAUGGUGGAACUAAGAGCGCCAAUCAGCAUCAAGAUACAUCAGAGCCUCAGAAGGAAUCAGGCAAUCUCAUCUACACGACUGUUACCUUCACAAAUCAAACAGAGUCCAGCAUGGUUUCAUCCCACUGUGUAGCAUCUAUAAAAUCAUCCUCUAAGCCAAAAUCGACAGAAGAAUCUACAAUCUAUAGCAACAUCUCAACUCAGUGCUGA
ensembl:lncRNA